UGCGGAAGGAUCAUUACCGAGUGAGGGCCCUUUGGGUCCAACCUCCCACCCGUGUUUAUUUUACCUUGUUGCUUCGGCGGGCCCGCCUUUACUGGCCGCCGGGGGGCUCACGCCCCCGGGCCCGCGCCCGCCGAAGACACCCCCGAACUCUGUCUGAAGAUUGAAGUCUGAGUGAAAAUAUAAAUUAUUUAAAACUUUCAACAACGGAUCUCUUGGUUCCGGCAUCGAUGAAGAACGCAGCGAAAUGCGAUACGUAAUGUGAAUUGCAAAUUCAGUGAAUCAUCGAGUCUUUGAACGCACAUUGCGCCCCCUGGUAUUCCGGGGGGCAUGCCUGUCCGAGCGUCAUUGCUGCCCUCAAGCCCGGCUUGUGUGUUGGGCCCCGUCCUCCGAUUCCGGGGGACGGGCCCGAAAGGCAGCGGCGGCACCGCGUCCGGUCCUCGAGCGUAUGGGGCUUUGUCACCCGCUCUGUAGGCCCGGCCGGCGCUUGCCGAUCAACCCAAAUUUUUAUCCAGGUUGACCUCGGAUCAGGUAGGGAUACCCGCUGAACUUAAGCAU
rnacentral:misc_RNA from 1 species